CCACGGGCAAGUGGUGAUUUGAGUCCAGAUUGCGGGCCACGUAAAACAUAUUCCGCUAAAAGGUCAGGAGAAAGCCCCC
rfam:Rhodobacteraceae bacterium SB2 pfor_22, whole genome shotgun sequence.